rnacentral:misc_RNA from 1 species
AACCUCCUGGGUCAGCUGUGCACAUGCUUCUGCAACUGGUUCAGAUUCACUGUUUCCAUAAAGUAUUGAUUUCAACUCCCGAACGUUUUUACUUAAUUCUAACAUCUGCUUUUCCUCCCGCUUGGUGUCCUUAGUGUCAGGGUUCCGGUCUGUAUAGAUAAGAAGAUCGCGGGUCUGGCGGACAACAUCGACGGGGGUCCGUGGCUUGGGCUUGAAGAGGCUCUUCAUCUUGGUGGAAUUCUGGGAAUCCAAUAAGGAGGGGGAUUGUGGUGGUGGUUGGGAUUGAGAUUGUUGUAGGUGAUGUUGAUUUUGAGAGAGCCUCUGCACCACCGACGAGGCUCCCCGUGAAGGAGCGG